rnacentral:rRNA from 1 species
UACGAAGGGGGCUAGCGUUGCUCGGAAUCACUGGGCGUAAAGAGCGUGUAGGCGGCCUUUUAAGUCCUGCGUGAAAUCCUGCGGCUCAACCGCAGACGGUCGUGGGAAACUGGAAGGCUAGAGUGCGGGAGAGGAGAGUGGAAUUCCCGGUGUAGCGGUGAAAUGCGCAGAUAUCGGGAAGAACACCCGUGGCGAAGGCGGCUCUCUGGAACGCAACUGACGCUGAGACGCGAAAGCGUGGGGAGCAAACAGG